rnacentral:rRNA from 1 species
AUACGGAGGGUGCAAGCGUUACUCGGAAUCACUGGGCGUAAAGCGCGCGCAGGCGGUCUUUUAAGUUGGGUGUGAAAGCCUACGGCUCAACCGUAGAACUGCAUCCAAAACUAUUAGACUAGAGUGUGGGAGAGGAAGAUGGAAUUAGUUGUGUAGGGGUAAAAUCCGUAGAGAUAACUAGGAAUACCAAAAGCGAAGGCAAUCUUCUGGAACACUACUGACGCUGAGGCGCGAAAGCGUGGGGAGCAAACAGGAUUAGAAACCCUAGUAGUCC